rnacentral:rRNA from 1 species
GACGAACCGUGCGAACGUUGUUCGGAAUCACUGGGCUUAAAGGGCGCGCAGGCGGCCCGGAAAGUCGGAUGUGAAAACUCGAGGCUCAACCUCGAGCGUGCACCCGAUACUGCCGGGCUUGAGGCAGGUAGGGGAGAUCGGAAUUCCUGGUGUAGCGGUGAAAUGCGCAGAUAUCAGGAGGAACACCGGUGGCGAAGGCGGAUCUCUGGGCCAACACUGACGCUCAGGCACGAAAGCGUGGGGAGCAAACAGG